AUUGAACGCUGGCGGCAGGCUUAACACAUGCAAGUCGAGCGGGGUGAUGGUGCUUGCACUAUCACUUAGCGGCGGACGGGUGAGUAAUGCUUAGGAAUCUGCCUAUUAGUGGGGGACAACAUCUCGAAAGGGAUGCUAAUACCGCAUACGUCCUACGGGAGAAAGCAGGGGAUCACUUGUGACCUUGCGCUAAUAGCUGAGCCUAAUUCGGAUUAGCUAGUUGGUGGGGUAAAGGCCUACCAAGGCGACGAUCUGUAGCGGGUCUGAGAGGAUGAUCCGCCACACUGGGACUGAGACACGGCCCAGACUCCUACGGGAGGCAGCAGUGGGGAAUAUUGGCCAAUGGGGGGAACCCUGAUCCAGCCAUGCCGCGUGUGUGAAGAAGGCCUUAUGGUUGUAAAGCACUUUAAGCGAGGAGGGGGCUCUUUUGGUUAAUACCCAAGAUGAGUGGACGUUACUCGCAGAAUAAGCACCGGCUAACUCUGUGCCAGCAGCCGCAGUAA
rnacentral:rRNA from 1 species